GGCAGGUGGUGGGAGUGAGUCUA
rnacentral:siRNA from 1 species